GUCUUGCUCCUUAUGUAGGAGUUUACUAGGGCUGCACCUGGGAUUGGCUUUCUCUGCCAGGCCUUUUCUAUUAUCUAAUUCAGCUGUAAGGUAAGUUGAGUCUCUCCUUUUCUCUGACAGUGUUUUAAAUUUUUUAACUAUUCAUGCUUUUAAACUCUUCUAAAAGUAUUGCAGAUCCUUCAGGAUUUCGAUUAAACUUUAAUAUACAUGAAUAUGAUUAAAAAUAAGUAAAUAAUAAAACUAAGGUUUUGAAUGUAAAAUAGAGUAGGUCUUGUUCCCAGGACUGGCUCUGCCUCCAGCUAUGUGACCCUGGGCAAGUCAUUAUACUUUUCUGUUCGUGUGUGUGUGUUUGUGUGUGUGUUUGUGUGUGUGUGUUUGUGUGUGUGUGUUUGUGUGUGUGUGUGUGUGUGUGUAAAAUGAAGAGGUGAUUUUUAACAGGCCUUGGCAGUUGUCAAAGUCUCUGUAAUAUAGACUUGUAAUGUAAUGCAAAACGACCCUAUGAAAAAGAUGGUAAUUUUCUUUGAAGGUGUUUCUCUCUUUCAUAAAACACCUUCUGGUAUCAGCAAUAAAGGGCAGGGACCAUUACUGCUUUUCUUUGUUUCAGAAUAAAUUUUGAACUUUUUCCCAACGAAGUCCCUUAGAAUUUUUAGCAAUACACAUUUCUCUGCAGUUCUAUUUCUGUCUCACAAGCCUGUUGCUUUUCUUUUUCAAUAGCUACACUCCCUUCCCCCAUUAAAGAUAAAUAAAUCUCCUCUGCUAAACUGGCCUUUCCCUGCUAACUUUCAACUUCAUGGUAAGAAGCAACUCGCCUGUUAGCCAGGUGUAUUUAGAGAUGAGGAGGCCAU
rnacentral:lncRNA from 10 species